UUCCAGACUCCUACGGGAGGCAGCAGUGGGGAAUAUUGGGCAAUGGGCGCAAGCCUGACCCAGCAACGCCGCGUGAAGGAAGAAGGCUUUCGGGUUGUAAACUUCUUUUAAGAGGGAAGAGCAGAAGACGGUACCUCUUGAAUAAGCCACGGCUAACUACGUGCCAGCAGCCGCGGUAAUACGUAGGUGGCAAGCGUUGUCCGGAUUUACUGGGUGUAAAGGGCGUGUAGCCGGGCUGACAAGUCAGAUGUGAAAUCCGGGGGCUCAACCCCCGAACUGCAUUUGAAACUGUUGGUCUUGAGUAUCGGAGAGGCAGGCGGAAUUCCUAGUGUAGCGGUGAAAUGCGUAGAUAUACGGAGGAACACCAGUGGCGAAGGCGGAUUGCUGGACAGUAACUGACGCUGAGGCGCGAAAGCGUGGGGAGCAAACAGGAUUAGAUACCCCCGUA
rnacentral:rRNA from 1 species